GAUUCUUAAGCUCAGUUGGUUAGAGUGUGGUGUUGUUAAUGCCAAGGUUGCAGGUUCGAUCCCUGUAUGGGACA